rnacentral:rRNA from 1 species
CCCUUAGAUGUCCGGGGCUGCACGCGCGCUACACUGUAGAAAGCAGCGUGCUUUAAAACCUUUCCUGAAAAGGAUGGGUAACCCCAGCAAAAUUCUACGUGCUUGGGAUAGAGAUUUGCAAUUUUCUCUCUUGAACGAGGAAUUCCCAGUAAGUGCGAGUCAUCAGCUCGCGUUGAUUACGUCCCUGCCCUUUGUACACACCGCCCGUCGCUACUACCGAUUGGGAAAAUUUUAGAGAGUCCUGGACUGACGAUUGUUCGGCUUCACGGCCUUACUUUCGUCGGGAAAGAAUUCGAUAAUAUUUUUCUAGAGGAAGUAAAAGUCGUAACA